CAAGUUUUAUCUCGUGUUGUUGAUGAGAGCUAUCAGACACCAUCAUGGCCCGCCUCGUGUGCAGCAGCAGUACCAUGAUAGGAAGUAACGCCGCCACAGAGGGUGAUUUGGCAACACUGAUACAAUCGAUAUCUACCCCGCUGCUCUUGCAUUCAGUUACGACCCACGCUGGCCUCGGCUUCGUCCAGGGCCUUCUUCCCCCUUUGAGCCUCUAAGCUCCUCGCUACACCAAAUGGGCUGAAAACCCAUUAACUCGUUUUUUCUGCUCUUUUCUUGCAGAAAAACACAUUCUUUCAACAAAAAUAGCAGCUAUAAAACACGAAAAAUCUAAUCAACGCAAUCGGAGAAAGCGAAACACGGCGCAUGCGCAGGCGAGGGGAAGCUGGGGUCAAGCGACUAUGGUUCCCCUCUCAGACUGCUGUGUGGCCAUCCAACUGCUUGCCCACUCUCCCCUCGCGGCCGGCCAGCUGUUCCUCUCAGUCGGCUGCCGUCUCCCUCGCCCGCAGCAGCAGCCCACGCCCGUCCUGCUUGGCCGACCCCGCCCCCAGUUGACCUUCACACGCUAAGGUGUUUUCUUCCGGCCGGCGGAUACACGCCGGUCGGUCCUACAAAAUGGCAGUCGGCGGUGCAGGACUCCAGGGUUUGGGCAGCGACCUGCCGGGGUCCAGCCUGUGCCAUCAAGGCCUGGCCAGAGGCGCGCCGUCCCACUGCCUCUCUCGCCGCCUCUGGGAGUGAAGGUGGCCGGUGCCGCAGGUCAAGUCGCGCAGGAUAUAGGUCAAGGUGCCUUAUCCUGAAGGUGGUGUGCUGACUCGCCGACAGAGGGCACCAGCCCACCACACCGGCCCGCUCUGCUGUACACGCAAGACGCCGACGACGCCCCCGGAGCUGCCCCCCUCCACCCCCUCUCCUGCACGGCCUGAUGGAGAUGUCCUGCCUGCCUCCUCUCAUCCAGCCUCGCCCAGCCCUGCCACAGACAAGCCCCGAGAGUGGUCCAGCCUCUGAAGGGAUGCUCAAGACAGUUGCAGAUGAACGAGAUGAAGACACACAUACGAACAGAUAAUGGAUGAAUUACGUAAAUCAAAUGAAUAAAAUGAAUGAUGAAGGAAGACUGGAAAAUGAAGCCCCUUUCCAGGUUAUGCAAAUGAAUGGAGCAAGAAGAGUGAAUGCAUGGAAGGAAGGGCGCCAGGUCAAGAUUUUCGACGCGAGAAGUUUAUGCAAAGUUUGAUUAAAGAGAAAAUUACAUCACGCCAAGACAACAACAAGACCGAAAUAAUGUUACAAGAAAGCAAACCAAGAAUUGUCAUCACCACAAGGAAAUAACAACACCGGCGAAACAAAAUAAAGCAAGAAUGAAAACAAGGAGAGAGAGAAAGAAUAACAAAAGAGGCAAAAAUAGUUGAAGACUCGGGGCAACUUCCCGCAGCUGGAAUCGAAGCAGGAAACAAGACACAUAUAAAAGAGAAUGAAAGAAGAAGAAAAAGAAGAACAAGAAGAAAGAAGAACACAAAAAGUCCCAAGAGACCUGAACACCUGCAGCCCAUCCCACCCCUCAGACCACCACACCUUCCUCAGCCCUGCCCAGCCCUGUCCAGCCCGCCCUGCCCUUACCUUGCCGGAGACAGCAGCCCUCACUCAUCCCCUUCCACAGGUCUGCACAAGAGAAAAAAAAAGUAUAUGAAACCCUUUCGCUCUUCAGUUCCAAAAUUAUGACAAAUAACUUUUUUUUUCUUUUAGCUACAAGGUUUACGUAAAAAGUAAUAUUUUUUACAGGAUUAUGAUGAGCUUAAAAAGGAGGGAAAAAAAAAGUUGAGAGUCUACUUAAUGUUCGUUUUAAACUUCAGCAAAAUGACAUAUAAUUUUAAGCUGAUGAUAAGCCCGAAAAAAGUUGAUUGAGGCUAUUAUGUAAUGCCUAAAAAUGAUGAAGGGAAGGCUAUAAUUUUUGCGUCAAAAUUUGGCAAACCUUUCACGCUUCAGAAUGUGUAUAUUAAGGAAGAAUUUAGUGCGGUGGUGACUCGGCUACAAAUUGAAAAUAUUUUGCCUCCUGUUACAAAAUAUUACCAGUGGAACCCCGCAUAUUUUCCUGAGCUGUAAUUAGCGCUAUUUUUAGUAAUAAUAUUUUUCCACCUCCACGUCCUCUAACUAAUUACUACUACUAGUACUACUACCACUACUACUACUGCUGCUACUACUACCACUACUACUACAUUUGAUUAUUAUAUUUUCAUGCAUCUCUCUCUCUCUCUCUCUCUCUCUCUCUCUCUCUCUCUCUCUCUCUCUCUCUCUCUCUCUCUCUCUCUCUCUCUCUCUCUCUCUCUCUCUCUCUCCAUUCACCGCCACCACCGUCUCUCGUUAUACAGCUUCCGCGUUCUCCCUCACGCCUCCCAAAAUCCAUCAGGCCCUUCCUCUCAGUUGUGAUCACGAGGCGAGCUCUUGAGGGGCUUCCGUGAGCCUUUAGCAGCACCCCAAGCCCUCCCACCCGCCUGCAGAAGCCCUCACCCGUCCCUCAGCCUCCCGCCCACUCCCUUCAUCCAUUCCUGAAACCGUCAUCUUCCCCCCUCUCGUGAAGUCCUCAGCCUCCCUCUUAAGUAGGUGUCGUGAUAAUACUCGCCAGGAUCUCUCCCUAAUCCUGCGCCUGUGGUGACGGCGGCCGACGGCGUACGUGUGUGUGUGUGUGUGUGUGUGUGUGUGUGUGUGUGUGUGUGUGUGUGUGUGUGUGUGUGUGUGUGUGUGUGUGUGUGUGUGUGUGUGUGUGUGUGUGUGUGUGUGUGUGUGUGUGUGUGUGUGUGUCCCAGGAGGAACAUCAGUAUGAGAGAAACUGGAGAAGGCACAGAAGGGGAGAGGAGGAUAGAGGAGGAAGAGAAAGCGAGAGUGAAAGACGAGGUAGAGGAAGUGGAUGAGGGAACAGGAAAACGAGAAUGAGGUAUAUGACAAGGAGGAGGAGGAGGAGGAGGAGGAGGAGGAGGAGGAGGAG